UGGGGAAUAUUGCACAAUGGGCGCAAGCCUGAUGCAGCCAUGCCGCGUGUGUGAAGAAGGCCUUCGGGUUGUAAAGCACUUUCAGCGGGGAGGAAGGCGAUAAGGUUAAUACCUUUGCUCAUUGACGUUACCCGCAGAAGAAGCACCGGCUAACUCCGUGCCAGCAGCCGCGGUAAUACGGAGGGUGCAAGCGUUAAUCGGAAUUACUGGGCGUAAAGCGCACGCAGGCGGUUUGUUAAGUCAGAUGUGAAAUCCCCGGGCUCAACCUGGGAACUGCAUCUGAUACUGGCAAGCUUGAGUCUCGUAGAGGGGGGUAGAAUUCCAGGUGUAGCGGUGAAAUGCGUAGAGAUCUGGAGGAAUACCGGUGGCGAAGGCGGCCCCCUGGACGAAGACUGACGCUCAGGUGCGAAAGCGUGGGGAGCAAACAGG
rnacentral:rRNA from 1 species